CCGGCCCAGAACGGGCUCACACCUGCCAGCGGUGGGGACAGAGCGUGUUACUUCACAAGGGUUACACACAUAUGCACAGGCAUUUUAGGGCCAUUCAGAAGGAGAAGUAGUGCUUUGAGACAUUCAUGGAAAGCAAAGUAUGGAGCAACUAAAUGCAUGAAGCACAACACAUUAGACUAGGAAAUACACUCCUGUGGCACAAAUAUACCUAAAAAUUCUAAAGAGAUGAGGAAAGCUGGAAGCCUCUCCAUACUCCACAAAGUGAAGAGGGCUCUCAGUGUAUCCUGGAUCCAGGCUUGUUCCCAAGAGAUUUGUAUGACUGAGAUUGUCUGCCUUUAACGAGGAGUGUCUGAAUUUUACGAAGCCUUUUUUGUUCGUGAAGAAUUCUUCUGUUCUUUGAAGUCUUCGGCAUGGUAACAAAAUAAAGCUUAACAUUCUGAUGCCUUAAAAUUUGAGAUCUUGGGUAGCAAAAAAUAGUAGCCUCUCUUAUAAAUGACGAGUUUGGUGUGAUUGAGAACUGCCCAGCAGCACAGCCACGCUCUCUUCCUGUGACACAGAGCACAUAAAUGUAUACAGAGGAAUUCAAAACUGAAGAAAGCUGUGAACUGACAAAGGUCUCUUGUCCACUCUGCAGGCUUUUGUAUACAUCAGGGGAAAGAGGAGAGAUAUUUUACAACAAACCAGAAGUGUCCUAAAUUAAGAUUGUUGCAAUGUGAUGUCUUUGUAGUUUCCAUACAUACUAACAUGAGGCAGAAUUCAGAGCACUGGAAUGUGAAGGCAGAUCCAUUUGAAUCAGAAAUAUGAUUACAUAAAAGUUCAUCAUUAAGGUAAUUAGAACUUCCUGGAAUGCUUAUUCUGCUCUAUGUAAUUUACCACGGCAGUGAUAUACUGGUUUUGGCAAAGUGGCUAAUCUAAUCUCAACAUUUAAUGCCCUCAUAAUCAAUUCUGGGAGUUACAUUUUGGUUUAACUGUUUUUUCAAAAGUCUGCUCAGUCAUUCAUAUUUUGCAUUAAUGUUCUGUACUGGAAGAAUGCAAGGUAGUAAUUGGUGAGAUCAGGUGAAAUUAAUUCACCUCACAAAUGGUUUGCUUUCUUUACCUAAGUGGAGAUCUUAAUUGUAACUUACUGUGUGUUGUCCUGAUUGUCAACAUGCAAAUGUUACGUAGCUUAAUGAAAUGUGAGACUUAAACCCAAUACACUUUUAUUCCAUAACCAGUGACUUUAUCAUACUGGUAUAUUUUUUGCAGUAACAGGAACUGUAUUAAACAAACUGGUUUUAACUGUGGCAAAGGUCAAUCCUCCUUGAACUCUAAAAUGCUCUUUCAAGCAAACAUUUUAGCUUCAAUGAACAAGAGAAAACCUACCAACCCAAAACUUUUUAGACAGUUAUUGAAGAAUACAAUUGUGGCUAUAUUUGUCUAAAUAUUUAAAUAUUUACUAAAUGGUAAUGAUAUUUUUUUAUUUCUGUGGGGAAACUAACGUAGGUUCACCUACAGAAGCUUAAUAUCAUCUUGGAUUCUCCCCAGGGAGAGGUAGUUCUGCAAGUUUGAAUAUAUUUUGAAGAGCUUUAGUUUGUGGUCUUCUCUUUGUAAAUUUGGUUUCAUGCAUGUGAACUCUUUAAGAACUCUUUUAUUGCUUAUCAUUUCAAUUUCAACUUCAUUGUCCCACCCUCAGGGAAUUUAUCAUAGCCAAGCAUGUUGUUACAUUGAAGCACAUAGAAUUCCAGGUUAUGAAUACUCUCUUCAGGACAGACAGGAAAAUUGUUCUCAUUUAAUUACACUCAUUUGCAAAAAUUGCUGACUUAUCCUGGCAUGACAAAAAAUUCUCUUCUGUAGAACACCGUCAAAUAUAUUUGAAAAAUUAUUAUUGGGCAUUUAUACCAAUUCUGACAUAAUUUCUUAUAACAAUAACCUGAUAUUAUUGCAGAAAACUUAAGAUUGUUAUAGAUUACAUAGGCUGAUCAAAAAACCUUCACCACUUGUUGGAUUAUAUGUAGUGCUUAACUUGUAAAACCAAACAGCAAAUGGUUGUGUCAUGUAACUAAGCAAAUGUGUGGUAUAAAUUGACUUUGCCUCAAUUCUUUCCGUGAUGAAUGAACAUUCUGUUCUCAGAAAUAAUUGCUUGGAUGGAAAGGUCGCACACAUCAACCGUGGAGUGCAAAUGGUUACUCCCCAAAUCCUUGUUAAGCUAAUUUCAUAGGAAGCAGGAAUUUGUGUUGGUGUUUCUGAAUGCUGUAUAAAGCCCAGUGUUCAGAAGGAACCAUUCAGUAGUUCCCAAGUGUGGCACUGUUUAAAAUCAGUUAGCACUUACAGGAAAAAUUCCAUAACCACCCAACAUGGCACAAUCACUUGAUAUAUGGUUAGAUAUUUAUUAGCAAUUUUGAAUUUCAAGUACUUCUGGAAGCACCAAAAAUUUCAACAAGCAAAAAGAACAAUAAGCUAUGUUAUAUCAAAGGUCAUGCAUGUGAUGCCAUACAGGGGCCAUGUAAUUAUUAUUGAGAUAGCUACAUGCAUUCUUUUUCAACAAAUUGAAUUUUUUUUCUGAAAAAGAAAUGUGGAGAAAAAAUACAAGAUCUGGGGAACUUGCAUCUAGAUAAACUGAUAAUCCAAGUUAUUAAUUUAAUUAAUUUGGAAUUUAGUGCCAUUUGAGAGCAAGUAUAUGCAGACAUAUUUUAUGGAAAACUUUGGAAUGCUAACAUAGUUAAGAACAAUGAAAAAUUUUUCUUUGUAAUAUUUCUUUGCUUUUCUUAUUAGCACCUAAUAAACAUCUGCAAUCUACUUCUGACUACCUUUAUGAAAGAACUAUGGCCAGUAGGGGUAGUGAUACACAGAUCUAGUAAAUGAGGGAAGAGUGGGUGCAUGAUACACACGUGAGGAAGUGCAGAGCAGAACACCAUUACCUGUGAUAGAAAUGGAAAGAGGUUUGUCUUCCUUUGAAACAGUGAUGAGAUAUAAAGCUCAAGCGGAGGGGAUUUUUGGCUUGGCUGCUCUUUGUUUUUUACCUCUGCUAUGAUCACUGAGCUCCAGUGCUGCCAUAAAAACAAAAGACAAAGUUAACUACUGCUCCUUACCUGAGCUACAGCAAUUCACCAUCUAUGUAAGAAAUCAGUCCAGCCCCCAUAUUUGUAAUUAUUAUUAGACAUUCUACUUCACAGUAAGGAUAAACAU